GACGAACGCUGGCGGCGUGCUUAACACAUGCAAGUCGAACGGUAAGGCCCUUCGAGGUACACGAGUGGCGAACGGGUGAGUAACACGUGGGUGAUCUGCCCUGCACUUCGGGAUAAGCCUGGGAAACUGGGUCUAAUACCGGAUAGGACCACUGCCUGCAUGGGUGGUGGUGGAAAGCUUUUGCGGUGUGGGAUGGGCCCGCGGCCUAUCAGCUUGUUGGUGGGGUGAUGGCCUACCAAGGUGACGACGGGUAGCCGGCCUGAGAGGGUGACCGGCCACACUGGGACUGAGAUACGGCCCAGACUCCUACGGGAGGCAGCAGUGGGGAAUAUUGCACAAUGGGCGCAAGCCUGAUGCAGCGACGCCGCGUGAGGGAUGACGGCCUUCGGGUUGUAAACCUCUUUCAGCACCGACGAAGCGCAAGUGACGGUAGGUGCAGAAGAAGGACCGGCCAACUACGUGCCAGCAGCCGCGGUAA
rnacentral:rRNA from 1 species